GGCAAAGAUACCAUUAUUCUCUCUUGACUACGUGGCUCCGCUGCAUCUAUUGUCUGCUUCUUUCUAUAUUUGUCUGAUCUAUAUCAAGAGAAUACUUGGUUUCUGUACUACAUGCUGGUCGAUAUCAUUUUCUUAGUUGUCCUCUAAGUAGUGUGUGUCCCAUGUCCUUGAAAUACCUUCUGCUAUUUUCAUGCGUUUUUCUUCCCUUCUGCUGCAUAUUAAGACAAAUGGUAAUGUUGGACUCUGCAGAUUAUCAAGUACAGUAUACUGGAGCAUAUCAACUUCUUAAAUUUAUGUUGCAGCCUAGAAUAUAUCAACAUCAAAAAUAUAUCAGCCAGACUAUAUCAGUUUCUGUACGGGAGAGAUAGGUGGUUCUGGAGGUUGAGCAGGGAGGAGGGAGCUAGAGAAGCGGUGCAGUGACGGAGUUGGAGGAUCAGGGAGGGGCUAUGUUGGCCCGGCUCUGUCCCUCACGAAGAUGAGCACAUCUCCCUCCUCACCCCUUCUGAGCUGAGCUUCUUCUUCCAACUCAUGGCAGGGCUUGGUGGUCUCACAGGGGCAAGGUUUUCCCACCACAUGCUUGGUUCAGACAUCUCGUCAUCCUUGUUGUCUGCGCUCCUCAACUGAAUGUCGGCGUGGACGCCGGCGCAUUCCCGAGGGUGCAUUUGAGCAGCGAUGGUGAUCAUGCCGAUUCAUGCUGGUGAUCUAAUACUAGGUGUUGACAAUGAGGAUUUCACUUUGACAAGCAAGGUGGUGUAGAGUUGGCUGAGCUGUCAAUGGUGACGGGUUUUUAUGAUUAGGAUUUUGGUGCUUGGCUAUUCCUCUGGAGUGACUAAGGAUUGGAGUCUACCUUAGGAUCAGUUUAUCCUAUGGGCCUAUACUACAGUGUUUAUCUGGCGACGGGGAGCUGCUGCUGCCGGAGCAAAAGACGCGUCUUUCCCGAGCUGAAGCCGCCAGCCACCGCUCCUGCUUGCUGCUGCUGCCGAGAAAAAUCGCAGACAUCUUCAGUUAAACAAGAUACUACUACUAUAUAAUGGAAAAGUUAUAUGGCGCAAGCCUAAAUCUUCACAGCACCUCCUUGUAGAUACUACUACUCCAUUAUUUUCGGUGACAUGGGAAGAUAAAUAACUGAUGCAGAAAUUAUAGAACCCUAUGUGAAGAAAAUUAUGGAUGAGAAUCGUGGAUAGAAGUAUGGGUGUGGAGCCAUGGGGUGUUCAAAAGUUUUGCAUGCUCCUGAGUUUGUUAAAAAUCAUCUAAAACUCAAGCACCUUGACUUGGUCUCUGUGUUGACUUCUGGAUUUUGUUGGUGAUAUCACCUGAUCAUGUAUGCUGCUCAGUUGUGCGGUUGUGCCCCUUUGUCUUUGAAUUCAGCUUUGUUGAUUGUUAUUGCUUUUCUUUUUUCAGAAUAUUGAUAUAGUGAUAUUAUUUCCACAUUGGUAAGCUGAAACAUGCCAUUUAUGUUUCUGCCUACCAUAGUUUGUGAAUCAGUCAUUUUGUGGAAUUAAACCUGCUCCAUUCAAUUACGAAACCAUCUACUUAGUACA